UCGUCGAAGGUGAGAUGAUCAGUCUCUCCCCUUAUAUUUACUACUUUUGUUUAAAUCUUCGACUACCGUAAUGAAUAUCAAGUUAUUCUUGAUAUUUGUGGUAAUGAUGUGUGCCAUGCACCAAGGGCCUGCUGUAUAUCGGGACCUUACGUGUAAAUUGGAAAUGAGGUAUUCUAUAAUCUCCUGUGUGUGCUUCUUACCCUGCUGUUGGGCUAUGCGCCGUCGGUCGGAAAAAUCGUCAAAGAGAAAUGGCCAGCCGCCGUGUCAAUGUUCCAAGAAUGGAGAGCUCGUCCUUCCCUGUGCCGUCACUGCGGUACUGCCCCGUGUCAGGUUAAACGGAGAUCCUUGUGGAAACCCUCCGGUACUCGUAAGAAAGACAAGGCGAACUUCGCUAAAAGGUCAAACGUCAUGAUGUUGUUUUAUUAUGGACUAGAAUUGUCCGUGGUACUGACCAAAGAGCUACCAUGGAAUAACCUGUACUUGGAGAGGAAGUUCGUCCAACAUUUUGAGGAGGAGCAUAUGGUAUUGUUCCCAGUGUGCAUCCAGCGUCAUAUCAACUACUAGUGCUCUAUGUACUCUGUUCUUUCUAGAUUCGUUGCGCCGUUCAAAGAGGAGAAUGUGGAUGGCAGUCGGUGAUAGAAUAGAAGUUUAAUGAUUGACGUACCAGUCUCGUUUUGAUUGUCUUAUUUU